rfam:Lupinus angustifolius cultivar Tanjil chromosome LG15, whole genome shotgun sequence.
AGCUCAGAUCAAACUAGCACUAAUGCAUUGGAUCCCAUAAGAACUUUGUAGUUAAUCGUGCUUGGGCGAUAGAAGUACUUGGAAGGGUGACCUCCUAGGAAGUCCUUGUGUUGCACCUC